rnacentral:rRNA from 1 species
AUUGAACGCUGGCGGAAUGCUUUACACAUGCAAGUCGAGCGGCAGCACGGGGGCAACCCUGGUGGCGAGCGGCGAACGGGUGAGUAAUACAUCGGAACAUGCCCAGUCGUGGGGGAUAACACUUCGAAAGAAGUGCUAAUACCGCAUACGUCCUGAGGGGGAAAGCGGGGGAUCGCAAGACCUCGCGCGAUUGGAGUGGCCGAUGUCAGAUUAGCUAGUUGGUGGGGUAAAGGCCUACCAAGGCAACGAUCUGUAGCUGGUCUGAGAGGAUGAUCAGCCUCACUGGGACUGAGACACGGCCCAGACUCCUACGGGAGGCAGCAGUGGGGAAUUUUGGACAAUGGGGGCAACCCUGAUCCAGCCAUUCCGCGUGAGUGAAGAAGGCCUUCGGGUUGUAAAGCUCUUUCGGCAGGAACGAAACGGUGAGCUCUAACAUAGCUUGCUAAUGACGGUACCUGAAGAAGAAGCACCGGCUAACUACGUG